GGGUUGUGAGGUUAAGCGACUAAGCGUACACGGUGGAUGCCCUGGCAGUCAGAGGCGAUGAAGGACGUGCUAAUCUGCGAUAAGCGCCGGUAAGGUGAUAUGAACCGUUAUAACCGGCGAUUUCCGAAUGGGGAAACCCAGUGUGACUCGUCACACUAUCAUUAACUGAAUCCAUAGGUUAAUGAGGCGAACCGGGGGAACUGAAACAUCUAAGUACCCCGAGGAAAAGAAAUCAACCGAGAUUCCCCCAGUAGCGGCGAGCGAACGGGGAGGAGCCCAGAGCCUGAAUCAGCAUGUGUGUUAGUGGAAGCGUCUGGAAAGGCGCGCGAUACAGGGUGACAGCCCCGUACACAAAAGCGCAUGUGCUGUGAGCUCGAUGAGUAGGGCGGGACACGUGGUAUCCUGUCUGAAUAUGGGGGGACCAUCCUCCAAGGCUAAAUACUCCUGACUGACCGAUAGUGAACCAGUACCGUGAGGGAAAGGCGAAAAGAACCCCGGCGAGGGGAGUGAAAAAGAACCUGAAACCGUGUACGUACAAGCAGUGGGAGCNNGGGCGUUAAGUUGCAGGGUAUAGACCCGAAACCCGGUGAUCUAGCCAUGGGCAGGUUGAAGGUUGGGUAACACUAACUGGAGGACCGAACCGACUAAUGUUGAAAAAUUAGCGGAUGACCUGUGGCUGGGGGUGAAAGGCCAAUCAAACCGGGAGAUAGCUGGUUCUCCCCGAAAGCUAUUUAGGUAGCGCCUCGUGAAUUCAUCUCCGGGGGUAGAGCACUGUUUCGGCUAGGGGGCCAUCCCGGCUUACCAACCCGAUGCAAACUGCGAAUACCGGAGAAUGUUAUCACGGGAGACACACGGCGGGUGCUAACGUCCGUCGUGAAGAGGGAAACAACCCAGACCGCCAGCUAAGGUCCCAAAGUCAUGGUUAAGUGGGAAACGAUGUGGGAAGGCCCAGACAGCCAGGAUGUUGGCUUAGAAGCAGCCAUCAUUUAAAGAAAGCGUAAUAGCUCACUGGUCGAGUCGGCCUGCGCGGAAGAUGUAACGGGGCUAAACCAUGCACCGAAGCUGCGGCAGCGANNUGCUGGAGGUAUCAGAAGUGCGAAUGCUGACAUAAGUAACGAUAAAGCGGGUGAAAAGCCCGCUCGCCGGAAGACCAAGGGUUCCUGUCCAACGUUAAUCGGGGCAGGGUGAGUCGACCCCUAAGGCGAGGCCGAAAGGCGUAGUCGAUGGGAAACGGGUUAAUAUUCCCGUACUUGGUGUUACUGCGAAGGGGGGACGGAGAAGGCUAUGUUGGCCGGGCGACGGUUGUCCCGGUUUAAGCGUGUAGGUGUGUGUUCCAGGUAAAUCCGGUUCACUUUAACACUGAGGCGUGACGACGAGGCACUACGGUGCUGAAGCAACAAAUGCCCUGCUUCCAGGAAAAGCCUCUAAGCAUCAGGUAACAUCAAAUCGUACCCCAAACCGACACAGGUGGUCAGGUAGAGAAUACCAAGGCGCUUGAGAGAACUCGGGUGAAGGAACUAGGCAAAAUGGUGCCGUAACUUCGGGAGAAGGCACGCUGACAUGUAGGUGAAGUGAUUUACUCAUGGAGCUGAAGUCAGUCGAAGAUACCAGCUGGCUGCAACUGUUUAUUAAAAACACAGCACUGUGCAAACACGAAAGUGGACGUAUACGGUGUGACGCCUGCCCGGUGCCGGAAGGUUAAUUGAUGGGGUCAGCGCAAGCGAAGCUCCUGAUCGAAGCCCCGGUAAACGGCGGCCGUAACUAUAACGGUCCUAAGGUAGCGAAAUUCCUUGUCGGGUAAGUUCCGACCUGCACGAAUGGCGUAAUGAUGGCCAGGCUGUCUCCACCCGAGACUCAGUGAAAUUGAACUCGCUGUGAAGAUGCAGUGUACCCGCGGCAAGACGGAAAGACCCCGUGAACCUUUACUAUAGCUUGACACUGAACAUUGAGCCUUGAUGUGUAGGAUAGGUGGGAGGCUUUGAAGUGUGGACGCCAGUCUGCAUGGAGCCGACCUUGAAAUACCACCCUUUAAUGUUUGAUGUUCUAACGUGGACCCGUUAUCCGGGUUGCGGACAGUGUCUGGUGGGUAGUUUGACUGGGGCGGUCUCCUCCUAAAGAGUAACGGAGGAGCACGAAGGUUGGCUAAUCCUGGUCGGACAUCAGGAGGUUAGUGCAAUGGCAUAAGCCAGCUUGACUGCGAGCGUGACGGCGCGAGCAGGUGCGAAAGCAGGUCAUAGUGAUCCGGUGGUUCUGAAUGGAAGGGCCAUCGCUCAACGGAUAAAAGGUACUCCGGGGAUAACAGGCUGAUACCGCCCAAGAGUUCAUAUCGACGGCGGUGUUUGGCACCUCGAUGUCGGCUCAUCACAUCCUGGGGCUGAAGUAGGUCCCAAGGGUAUGGCUGUUCGCCAUUUAAAGUGGUACGCGAGCUGGGUUUAGAACGUCGUGAGACAGUUCGGUCCCUAUCUGCCGUGGGCGCUGGAGAA
rnacentral:rRNA from 1 species